ACCUGCAAUGGCGAAGCAAACCCACCCCCCGAACGAAAGGUUGUUUUUUAACGGUGCACAAAGAACCAAGGCAAGUGCGAGCGCGCGUUAGUUUCUCGUUCCUCGUCGCAAUGAAUUAAGAAAGAGAAAAAAAUAAUAAAUAAAUAUAAAAAAAAAAAGAUAAAAAUGAGAAAACAACAAAUUUUUUCGGAGGAUGAUCGAUACGACGAUGAGUAUGGAUUAUAUUAUCGAGAAACAUGAAUCGAUCGAGUUUACGAAAGCGUUGGUGCUGAAUUUACAGAUAAAUCAGGAAAAGAGCGGUGCAUCCUGCAGUGGCAACCAAAAUGUAAAUGUUAUUAUUAAAAAAAAAAAAGAAAAAGAAAAGAAAAAUCAAGAUAACGAGCUGCAAAUUAAUCUACAGGAUCCCGGUUGAUUCGACGAAUAAACGUUGGAUGAUUUUCGAUUGCCACAGCACUUUAUUUGAGACAUCAUUUUGUUGUUAUCGUGAUUGUUUGCGAGAUACCAUACGAUGUCUAGAUUACGUCACGUAAUUUAACAUGAUUCUCCUCAAACUUAUGGUUUGGAUUUCCUCUCGCUUAUGGAAUUACUUGCUACUUAUAUAUAAUAUACGAAGAAUCCGCUUUCGUACAUCAGUGCAUCGAAUUCUCAUGUUACAAGAUCUUUGACUCGAUGCCACGCGAAUUCUCAUUAACGAGAAUGCAGAAAGAUGAAAGAAUGAAGGAUGAGGCGAACGAGGCGUUCUUAGACGUCGAAACGCGGUUCAACAACACCGGCGGCAUAGACUUUUCUUUUUUUUUUUUUUUUUUUUUUAAAGUAACGUGGACGUUUGGACCCCGACGUAUUCCCUUACCUUCUCGUUCUGAACGCAAUGGAACACAAAGAUAAACAGCCCCUGCAGGCUAUUCAAUAUGGUGAAGAUGUACGCCAUCGCUACGGAUUCUUGGUUCAAGUAGAGAAGGCCGAAGGUCCAGGUGAGUCCCAGCAGAAAGACAAGGACGAUCGCUCCUCUCAGCCAUGCCCUAUUGAUAAUUAAU